UAUGGCGACCGGCGCACGGGUGAGUAACACGUAUCCAACCUGCCGAUGACGUGGGGAUAGCCUUUCGAAAGAAAGAUUAAUACCCGAUGGCAUAGUUCUUCCGCAUGGUAGAACUAUUAAAGAAUUUCGGUCAUCGAUGGGGAUGCGUUCCAUUAGGUUGUUGGCGGGGUAACGGCCCACCAAGCCUUCGAUGGAUAGGGGUUCUGAGAGGAAGGUCCCCCACAUUGGAACUGAGACACGGUCCAA
rnacentral:rRNA from 1 species